AGCAAAGCUUUGAGAAAGAGGAGUAACAACACAGAAACUUUUCAGAGAGCUGGUGGCGGUGAGAAUCAGCAGGGGAUGUGUUGCGAAUGGACUUUCGAGCAAAAUGUUGAACAAGUAGUAGGCAUUUUCGGGAACUCCCGUUAUAGAGUAAGGUCGUUGAUAGACGACUGAUAAGAGGAAAGAAUUUCUUUCAAACUUGAGGUGGCACCGUGAUCAUUCGCCCUCAAA
rnacentral:ncRNA from 1 species